UACGGGGGGGGCAAGCGUUGUUCGGAAUUACUGGGCGUAAAGGGCUCGUAGGUGGCCAACUCAGUCGGACGUGAAAUCCCUCGGCUUAACCGGGGAACUGCGUCCGAUACUGGAUGGCUUGAGAUCGGGAGAGGGAUGCGGAAUUCCAGGUGUAGCGGUGAAAUGCGUAGAUAUCUGGAGGAACACCGGUGGCGAAGGCGGCAUCCUGGACCGACACUGACGUUGAGGAGCGAAAGCCAGGGGAGCAAACGGG
rnacentral:rRNA from 1 species